GAUAAAGGAAAAAUAAUUGAUGUCAUCUACCUGCAUUUGUGCAGAGCAUUUGAUACUGUCCCACAUGACAUCCUGGUCAACCAAUUGAAGAAAAAUGGAUUUGAUGGAUGGACCACUCACUGGAUAAGGAAUUGGCUGGAUGGUCGCAUUUAGAGAGUUUCAGUCAACAGCUCAACAUCCAUGUGGAGAACAGUGACAAGUGGCGUUCCUCGGGGAUUGAUGCUGGGACCAAUACUGUUUAACAUCUUAUUAGGCCCACUGCUGACACCACAGACACUGCUGGCACGCCUGUUGGUGGUGGCAGGGAGCCCUGUUGCAGACCGCAAACUCCAAGCCACUGCCUUACUGCUCAUGCAAAACCUCCACAGCAGGAUCCACAGAGCUGUGGGGGCCAUGUGGGCUGCUGAGAUCCCCCUGCUGCUACAGUGUCUCCAAGUUCCUGAGGGCGUUGCUGGAGACCAUGGAGGAUGAGGCCUGGACCAAGGCCCUGAGCUGUGAGCUGAGCCAGUGGCUGAGCAGCUCUCCCAGCAGCUCUGGAGAAAAGUCUUUCCUGUACAAGGCUCUAGGGACAGCGCUAGGAGCUUGUAAGGGUGUCCUCCACAUCCAAGAGAAGCUGCUGCCACACCUGGAGGAAGCAAAUGCAGAGGUGUCAUCUGAGGCCCAGAUGAGCUCUCCUCUCCUCCAGCUUCUGGAAUGAUCUCUAUUCUCAGCCAUGCUGCUGAGAGCAACUUCCACCCAGUCCUGGACACACUCACCAUGUUUGCAUCCAGGCUGUGCAAAGGCCAGAAUGCGAGGAUUUCCAGAUGGAGCUGGACAGUGUGAGAGCUCAGGCCACACGCAGCGCUCUCAUCCUCGCCCAUGGCAGCUCAGCACUGCGUGCCUCCAAGGAACAGCUGCUCGCCCACCUGGAGGGAGACAUCAUGGGCAGCAUCCUGAUGCUCUACAGCUGCAGCUGCUGGGUGAGAGCUUGAAGCAUGCCAAGGUGUCUGAUCACCCAGCUGCAGCCCCUCCAUGUGGGGGAUGCUGAGAUGGCCCUUCUCUUUCCAAAGGUCCCUUGGGGAAUGUUUUGUGUCCUGAUGAAGAUCCAAGCCCUUCCCUUAGUGUUGUCUCCACAUGUCCCCCUUGCAGCCCUUGGCCCUUCCCACAGUUCAAAGAAUGUUCUUCUCUCUUGGGUCUCAGGAGUGGCAGAACAACCUCACACUGGUGCAGAGCAUCACUGUCUUCAGCUCUGCCUUCCAAGCUGUCGGUGACUCUGUCUGGUUUAACCCCUCCUUGAAGGGCACGCUGCUGGAGAUCCUGAUAAUGAGUGCCUAGAGCCAGGGCUGUCUGCAGCGGAGUUCUGGGCUGUGCCAUGAGGCUUGCUUCCCUGGAGGCAUACAGGUCUUCCUCAGCCACACGUCUCCAGCUGGUGGGGACCUUGGGUGCUGGCAGGCAGUGGCAGGGCAGUGGGCUAUGUACACCAGCUGUGGAGUUGCUGCAUCCUGCAGUGCUUCCGUGGGAAAUGUGGGAGUGAUGGGGCCAGUGUGUGGCAGUUGUGUCUGUCUCAGGGCCGGGUGGAAGAGCUCUUGCGUGCCCCUUGCCCACCUUGACAGUGUCUCUCUGGGACUUGCAGAACUUGCUGAAGAAGUAUUUCUUGGGCAACCCCGUCUCCCCAGUGCCCCUCAAGGUGGUUCUGGCCCUGGAGCAGUUGAGGUAAGGGCCAGGUAAGUCUGUUUGAGGUGAAAAUUACUCAGUUACAACUUGAGACUCCUCUUUUUCUAGCAAGAUGUGGAGGAGAAUAAGAGAGUUUUGUCUUUGAUGGUGGAACUGGUAGAAGAAUGAAAAGAAAAAAGAAUGAAAGGGAAAGAAUCACAAAAUCACAGAAUGUCAGGAACUGGAAGGAACCUCAGAAGAUCUUCUAGUCCAAUCCCCCCGCUUUAGCAGGAACACCUAGAUUAGGUCACACAGGAAUGUGUCCAGGCAGUAGUAUGCAUCAUAAGUAAUGAAUGUGAAAAGGCAUUAAAUAUAUUACUAGAAUGAACUUUUAUGUGACUAUUAUAAUUUUCAAGUACUAUUGAAUAACAACAAUGGAAAAGUGUUUGUAUGAAUGUACUUGGGUAAUUAAUGGCAAAGAUUGAAGACAUCAUGUAGUGCCAAAUCAAAGACUGUAAAUACAUUCUUUUAAAGAGACUAAUGUACCCAUUGCUAGUUAAUAAUUAAAUAUAUUGCUAAUUAGUAACACAGUGAAACUUCAGAGCUUUAAUGUUAUGGCAUAAUUCAUUUUGACUUCAGUACUGUUAAGAUUAAUGCAUACCUCUUCAUGUAAGUAGCAAUGAAAUAAAUACAUAAAUAAAUUCUCCA